CCUACGGGUGGCUGCAGUGGGGAAUAUUGGACAAUGGGCGAAAGCCUGAUCCAGCCAUGCCGCGUGUGUGAAGAAGGCCUUCGGGUUGUAAAGCACUUUCAGUGGGGAAGAAAGCCUUGGGGCUAAUACCCUCGAGGAAGGACAUCACCCACAGAAGAAGCACCGGCUAACUCCGUGCCAGCAGCCGCGGUAAUACGGAGGGUGCGAGCGUUAAUCGGAAUUACUGGGCGUAAAGCGCGCGUAGGCGGUCUGAUAAGCCGGUUGUGAAAGCCCCGGGCUCAACCUGGGAACGGCAUCCGGAACUGUCAGGCUAGAGUGCAGGAGAGGAAGGUAGAAUUCCCGGUGUAGCGGUGAAAUGCGUAGAGAUCGGGAGGAAUACCAGUGGCGAAGGCGGCCCUCUGGACUGAUACUGACGCUGAGGUGCGAAAGCGUGGGUAGCAAACAGGAUUAGAUACCCGAGUAGUC
rnacentral:rRNA from 1 species